rnacentral:sRNA from 1 species
CAUUCCCUCCCUUGUGUGAAUACCUUCCCUUAUUAUUAUAUUUUAUUCUCCGCCCGUCUGCCUACCAAUAAGCGAAUUCCACUUGCCCUUUCCCUCCCUCCCUCCCUCGCAGCGAGCUCGGAAUAUUUCGUCUUUAAUACAUAUUACAUAUAUUAAACAAACUAUAUUCUAAUAAUAAUAAAGCCAUAUCUCGCGGUCGUGGGAACCCACAACUUCACCCCCAUGCGCAUCGCGCGCACCCAAAAACUUCAAAAAUCUACAACUCCCGAUGGAAAAUGACACCGACGCGCCUACCACAUCACCACCACCACCGCCACCAGAAAACCCAAAGGAACUAACCCCCCAACCUGCUUCGCCAGGCCGUAGCUCAUCGCUCAACCGGGGCCCAAGCCCAAGCCCAAGCCCAAGCCCAAGCCCAGGGCCCCCCGUCGCCGCCGGCGGAAUCGGCUUUAAACGCACCCUACUCAGCUCGUCCUUCUCGCGCCUCUCGUUGUCGCGCGGCGGAAACCUAGGCAGCGCGAGAAGUAGCCCUGAGACUACCAGUGCCGGCACCGGUACGGGCACCGAUGCAGCGCAGGCGCAAGCGCAUGCACAACACAGACCGGAUAAUG